UUCUAUGUGCUCGCAAAAUCGUUUCAUGGAACAAAAAAUAUUUUUUGUAUCAUAGGUAAGAAAGACAAAAUUGGGUGUAAAAAAGACUUCAUAAGACAUUUUCUUUAUUUUUUCAAAAUUUACGGUACCCGGUACUCCAGAACGACGCGGUGGAGUACCAAGCAUAUCUGACCGUUCGUGAUAAAGGAUUAGUGUUAAUAUUAUCAUUCUAAAAGUGCCAAAAGGGCAAUAUGCACUUUAAAUAUCCUCUUGUUUUCCGAUAGAGGAGCACCUGUGAGACUGUGAUCGAUCGACUGAGCCACCGCGCCCCACCCCCACUGCGCCGCCUCCUCGCUCGAUUCAGUGGCCCCGGACCCCUCUGCGCCGUCGCUGCUUCGCCUCACCCCCGCUGUCUCGGUCGAUUCCGCGGCCCCGGGGCCCACUGCGCCGCCGCCGCAUCUAGGCCUUUUUGGCUGCCUCGCGCCGCACCUGCUCCGCCGCCGCAUUUGGGCCUUGUUGGCUACGUCGCGCCGCUGCCUGGGACGUCCUUGUUGGAAGUCCCAUCUUCCUCGGCCGGUUCUGCCCUUGUUGGCCGUCUGGCGGCGCCGCCUCACGCGUCCUGGUCGAAGGGCCCUUCUUCUCCUUUUUUUUGCGAAUAUAGGGCCCUUCUUCUCCAACGUGCGGCUGACCCGUCCGUUAUCUUCGCCUUCGUCCCGAUCGCCUGUGCGUUCUUCAUUGCUGUGACGACGUGACCUGGUUUGGACAAUGGAUCAUAUUGGCGAAACAGAGGUGAGAGAAGAAUAUAUUACGAUGGUCAGUCAAAUAUUUGAUAGCGAAGAACAAGGUUACGAGCACUACAACAAAUAUGUGAAAGAGAAAGGGCUCAAUGUCAGAUUGGACUAGAAAGAGUAUGUGGCUUGGACCAAAGAAGUAAAAAAAAGACAGUUUCCCGUUUGCAGAAGUAUUUUGAAGCAACUGAGCAAAAGAGAUAGACAUGAAGUUUGGUUACAGUUUCUAUUUCCUGUAUGUACGGAGACCUGAAGUUUGGUUUUGCUGUACAGGCCUUGAAGUUUGGUUACAUGUUCUAUUUCCUGUAAGGAUUGCUUUGUUCUGCAGACAAUAUUGCUUGUGUGUUACUGCGGCUAGUUCAAAAAUAUUGAGUGCAAUUGACCUUGUUGCUCUGUUGGUUUUGAUCAUAUUUGUAAUUCAAUUUCUGUAUGCCUGUUGGCAACGAAGUGGAUACAGAGAGUGGAGCAAGGGUUUGCGAUUAUGAAAUAUCUGUGUGUAA